AAAGUCGUAACAAGGUCUCCGUUGGUGAACCAGCGGAGGGAUCAUUACAGAGUUGCAAAACUCCCAACCAUUGUGAACUUACCUCACCGUUGCUUCGGCGGGUGGCCCUCUCCGGGGCCGCGCCGGCCCCACACGGGGCCGGCAACCCGUCAGAGGACCGAAACUCUUAGUAACCACUGGCCUCUCUGAGUAACUUAUACAAUAAGUCAAAACUUUCAACAACGGAUCUCUUGGCUCUC
rnacentral:misc_RNA from 1 species